rnacentral:rRNA from 1 species
UACGUAGGGGGCAAGCGUUAUCCGGAUUCACUGGGUGUAAAGGGAGCGUAGACGGCCAUGCAAGCCUGGAGCGAAAGCCCGGGGCCCAACCCCGGGACUGCUCUGGGAACUGUGCGGCUGGAGUGCGGGAGGGGCAGGCGGAAUUCCUGGUGUAGCGGUGAAAUGCGUAGAUAUCAGGAGGGACACCGGCGGCGAAGGCGGCCUGCUGGACCGCGACUGACGUUGAGGCUCGAAAGCGUGGGGAGCAAACAGG